ACGUUAUAUGAAAGAACAGAAAAUCUACUAUCCUUGAUAAGGAUAGACUGGCUUUUGGGUCUAAACAUAUAUAUGUAGUUAAAGUAAGUAUUGCCUACUCUUAGAAAACAUAACCAACUUUUUUU